rnacentral:rRNA from 1 species
UACGUAGGGUGCAAGCGUUAAUCGGAAUUACUGGGCGUAAAGCGUGCGCAGGCGGUUUUGUAAGACAGAGGUGAAAUCCCCGGGCUCAACCUGGGAACUGCCUUUGUGACUGCAAGGCUUGAGUGCGGCAGAGGGGGAUGGAAUUCCGCGUGUAGCAGUGAAAUGCGUAGAUAUGCGGAGGAACACCGAUGGCGAAGGCAAUCCCCUGGGCCUGCACUGACGCUCAUGCACGAAAGCGUGGGGAGUAAACAGG